GGCGGCAUGCCUUACACAUGCAAGUCGAACGGCAGCACGGGGGCAACCCUGGUGGCGAGUGGCGAACGGGUGAGUAAUACAUCGGAACGUGUCCUGUAGUGGGGGAUAGCCCGGCGAAAGCCGGAUUAAUACCGCAUACGCUCUACGGAGGAAAGGGGGGGAUCUUAGGACCUCUCGCUACAGGGGCGGCCGAUGGCAGAUUAGCUAGUUGGUGGGGUAAAGGCCUACCAAGGCGACGAUCUGUAGCUGGUCUGAGAGGACGACCAGCCACACUGGGACUGAGACACGGCCCAGACUCCUACGGGAGGCAGCAGUGGGGAAUUUUGGACAAUGGGCGCAAGCCUGAUCCAGCAAUGCCGCGUGUGUGAANAAGGCCUUCGGGUUGUAAAGCACUUUGUCCGGAAAGAAAACGCUCUGGUUAAUACCCGGGGCGGAUGACGGUACCGGAA
rnacentral:rRNA from 1 species